ACCCAGGUGGCUCAGUGGGUUGAGCAUCUGACUCUUGAUCUCAGUGUAGGUCUUGAUCUUAGGGUCAUGGGUUCAAGCCCCAUUUUGGGUU
rnacentral:tRNA from 1 species